AUCAUCAUCAUCAUCAUCUGGCAUGUGCUUUCCAUGCUGGAAUGGAUUAGACAUUAUGACCGGAACUGAUAAGCCGGAGAGCUACACCAAGUUCCAGCCUGAUUUGGCAUGGUUUCUACGGCUAGAUGCUCUUCCUAAUGCCAACCACUCCAAGUGUGUAA